rnacentral:rRNA from 1 species
UGGGGAAUUUUGGACAAUGGGCGAAAGCCUGAUCCAGCAAUGCCGCGUGUGUGAAGAAGGCCUUCGGGUUGUAAAGCACUUUUGUCCGGAAAGAAAUCCUUGGCUCUAAUACAGUCGGGGGAUGACGGUACCGGAAGAAUAAGCACCGGCUAACUACGUGCCAGCAGCCGCGGUAAUACGUAGGGUGCAAGCGUUAAUCGGAAUUACUGGGCGUAAAGCGUGCGCAGGCGGUUUGCUAAGACCGAUGUGAAAAUCCCCGGGCUCAACCUGGGAACUGCAUUGGUGACUGGCAGGCUAGAGUAUGGCAGAGGGGGGUAGAAUUCCACGUGUAGCAGUGAAAAUGCGUAGAGAUGUGGAGGAAUACCGAUGGCGAAGGCAGCCCCCUGGGCAAUACUGACGCUCAUGCACGAAAGCGUGGGGAGCAAAACAGGAUUAGAUACCCUGGUAGUCCACGCCCUAAAACGAUGUCAACUAGUUGUUGGGGAUUCAUUUCCUUAGUAACGUAGCUAACGCGUGAAGUUGACCGCCUGGGGAGUACGGUCGCAAGAUUAAAACUUAAAUGAAUUGACGGGGUCAUAGCUGUUUCCU